rnacentral:lncRNA from 1 species
AAAAAACCUAAUGCUCUCAAACCCCCCCUUUAUCUCUUCCUCCUUUCUUCAGCUAGGGUUUCAACACCUAUCAUCGUCGGCGGUUCAAUGCGCCGAACGAAGAGGGGAGCGACCGCGAGGUAGAUCCGGUAAGACUCUCUUCUUCCUUGAUUCUUUUUUGUUUUAAAGUAAGUUAAUGAAAUAAAAAAUAAAACAAAGCAAAGAUAAAUAGAAAGAUUGAGAUAACUGAGGGAAAAAAAUUGAAGUUCACCUUCUAAGCUUUUCUUUUUUCUUUUGUUCUUGAUACCCCUUUUUGUAUUUCCCCCAAAGAACCCCCCACAUAUUUUCGGUUGAGGCUUCUUAUAGCCGAAUACCAAGAAAAUUUCUAUUGUUUGUUGCGUUUUUGCUCUGUUCUCUAUAGUUGUGUCUCGUUUUGCAGGCGGUGUCAGACGCAUGGAGGAGAAGGGCAUGCGCGGGGUGUGGUGGUGGUAGUGCGCAAGGUGGCCCAUGGUUGGCCUAGCGUGCGGCAGCUGGAGGCUUGGGGAGCUGCUAGGGUUUUCUCUUUUUUUUUUUUGGAAAAUGUUUAGUGGGCUAGGUUGAUUUGGGCCUGUUGGGCUAGUAUUUUAGUUUUGUACUUUGGACUUUAAUUAUUUUGUUUAUUGGGUUUUGUUAUUUUAUUUGUCUGGGCCAAAAAUUGGCCAUUACAUAAUAUAUCUUGGCAGCAAUCCCAUAUUGUGGAAAUCAUCAAAGCAAAAUGCUAUUGCUUGAUUAUCCAUUGAAACAAAAUAUUAAGCGCUUGUGAAUGCCACUACGAAAGUCAUCUGGAUUUUUUUUUCUGAAC